UUCCCCUGACUUGCCCACAUUAAUGCAACUACUUUUGGCAGUCACAUUCCCCUGACUUGUCAAGGCUACUAAGGAAAACUCUGCAUAGUUAUAGUACCUCCUCACGUUCUGAGGAUGUAAGCAUUGUUGGAAUUUCAUGUUCUUCCACACACUGAAUGUUCUACAUUGUUUGUAUUCCACGGCUGAAUUAUACUGUGUAUUUAAAUUGUAAAUAUUCCUCGUAACACUGUCUUAAUUUUUAUCAGGGCUGUUGCACAAAAGCUCAUUCCUGGGCCAUGGGAAGAACAAUCAGGCCUGGGUGUUGAGGGACUACCCCUACAACAUUUUGGGAUUGACUGUGGAGUAUUCAUGGUUAUGUAUGCCUGGUACAUAACUAUGGAGGCAGCAUUUGAUUUCACCAUUUAUGACAUGCCAUAUCUGAGGAGGUGGUGGUGCAAGGUUUUGCUGGAGAACCUUGAGAUUGAGGGACAUGGUCGAAGAUUUGCACAUUUUACACAGGAAGGCAGGAAGAUGGGGGAAGGAAGUCUGCCACCUGCCUUUUAAUGUCCCUAGGAAGAGGAGACACAACACUUUGGUAACUACACUCCCAGCAAAAAUCGCAAGGGUUUCACAGGAUGGUGCAGUGACCACUGACAUUUUGCAGGCACGUGUUAAUAAUGUUAAUGAAAAUGGCUUGACUUGAGUGUAUAUUACUUGUAAAUCAUAUUUCAUAUCUACAGUUGCCAGAUGACAUUCUCCAGAGUAUCCUUGUCUUUGUCGUUCUAGAAGAUGGCUGCUCUGCAAUCCUCAGGCUGGCUCUGACAUGCCAGAGGUUUAACAGCAUUGUCAGCCAAGAGAAUUUUCAACAAGAGGCACACUUCAGCUGGCUUGAUAGUGUAGUGAAUUGGAAAAAAUAUUCAAAGAGACACAUUCAAAUGUACAGAAAGCUGUACACCAUCUCCAGGUGCAGUCGCCUACAGUGCAGACAGCUUUACAAAGACUGUGGGACUGGCUACCAGGGAAAUGGCCAACAGGGAGUUAUUUUGGGGUUUUACUCCUCAGAUGACCACCCUGGCUACUGUAGCUGGGAUUGCUUCACAGAUGAUGGAGGUCUUGGUACAGACGAAGAGUGAAGUUCGUGUGUGUGCGUGCAAUGUGUCUUCCCUGUAACAAACACGAUCACUUGCAGUACAUGUGGUUCAAU